GACGAACGCUGGCGGCGUGCUUAACACAUGCAAGUCGAACGGACGAGUGAGAUAAGUUACUUAACUCACAAGUUAGUGGCGGACGGGUGAGUAACACGUGGAUAAUCUACCUGCAACACCGGGAUAACGCUGUGAAAACGGUGCUAAUACCGGAUACGUUCCCUUGUGCGCAUGUAUGAGGGAAGAAAGCUCAGGCGGUUGCAGAUGAGUCCGCGGCUGAUUAGCUAGUUGGUGAGGUAAAGGCUCACCAAGGCGAUGAUCAGUAGCCGGCCUGAGAGGGUGAACGGCCACACUGGGACUGAGACACGGCCCAGACUCCUGCGGGAGGCAGCAGUGGGGAAUCUUCCGCAAUGGGCGCAAGCCUGACGGAGCAACGCCGCGUGGGUGAAGAAGGCCUUCGGGUUGUAAAGCCCUGUCUUAUGGGAAGAAGUCAGUGACGGUACCAUAGGAGGAAGCCACGGCUAACUACGUG
rnacentral:rRNA from 1 species